CCCUUUGAGGAGACCAGUGAUAGAGAUUAAGGGCAGGACGAGUGCCUGGGAACAGCGAAGGUGGUGGUCGAAGGCACUUGUGGUGGACAGGAAACUCUAGGCCUUAGUCACUGUCAUCAUGGGUGUGGGGACAAAUACGGUUCCCCAGCAGGACACGGAGCGCAAGUUAUGAUGCCCUGGGAUGAUCAGGAGUCCUGAAGUGUGUGAGUUGAGCAACAGCAAACACAGCAGACAACCUUGGUCUCUUUGAGAAGUCAUCCCUGUGGCUCUGUUAUUUGCCAACGACAUCGAUUCCCUCUUCUAGAACCCUGCAGACAUUCUUGGUUUCCUGGACUCCAGGCUAGGUUUGAUUUUUUUUUUCUCUCUUAACAGCUUGGCCACUCCUCAAUGGGUGUGUUAGAAUGUUUCCUG
rnacentral:lncRNA from 1 species